rnacentral:misc_RNA from 1 species
AAGUUGUAACAAGGUUUCCGUAGGUAAACCUGCGGAAGAAUUAUUACCUAGCCUAGGCCACUGCUUAUUAGCGUGCCGCUUAUGCCUAUUACCUUAACUAUGCGCACCUUUAUUAUUCCCUUAGCAGUUUGCUGCCGCUAGAGACUCUCUAAACUCUUAUGUAAUACAGUACACUUCUGAAAACAAACCUAAUUAUUUACAA